AAAAAAACUAGGGGUCGUGAAUAGAAUAAAUGUAAUUUUUUUUUUUUAUCUAUUUAUCGAUAGCCUUCGAAUAAUUAACUGUUAUAAAAUUGCGCAAUUUUCUUAGUAUAUAAAAGCUUCUUGCAUUUCUGUUUCUUUACUUUAUUUCCUCAAUCUUCGUCAAUAGCGAAAUAACGAAAAUAAAAUGGCCAACUUUAAAUCGACUGCUGUUCUUUUAUUGAUCAUUGCAUCAAUUAUAAUGAUGACAGUACCUUCAGCAUUGGCAGAAGAUUGCCUUGCCUUAGGUGCACCAUGCCAAUAUACUGGAGAAAUGGGCAACUGUUGUUCUACAUUUUGUUUACAACAACCAAAAGAAUCAACGGGAAAAUGUGCAAAUAGAUCAUAAAAAUAAAAUCUUAUAACUGUUGACAAAAAAUUGUUUUUUUGCGACGAAAAAUGAUUUUUUAAAGGUAGUAAAUUUUUUAUUUUUCACUAUAUUGAUUUUUCUUUUUUGCAAAAUUUCAAAAAUUGUAUUUAAAACUAAUGUAAAAUAAAGAAAAUAUAAAAAAAAAAAAAAUGGUAA